rnacentral:rRNA from 1 species
GGAUGAACGCUGGCGGCGUGCCUAAUACAUGCAAGUCGAGCGAACGGACGAGAAGCUUGCUUCUCUGAUGUUAGCGGCGGACGGGUGAGUAACACGUGGAUAACCUACCUAUAAGACUGGGAUAACUUCGGGAAACCGGAGCUAAUACCGGAUAAUAUUUUGAACCGCAUGAUUCAAAAGUGAAAGACGGUCUUGCUGUCACUUAUAGAUGGAUCCGCGCUGCAUUAGCUAGUUGGUAAGGUAACGGCUUACCAAGGCAACGAUGCAUAGCCGACCUGAGAGGGUGAUCGGCCACACUGGAACUGAGACACGGUCCAGACUCCUACGGGAGGCAGCAGUAGGGAAUCUUCCGCAAUGGGCGAAAGCCUGACGGAGCAACGCCGCGUGAGUGAUGAAGGUCUUCGGAUCGUAAAACUCUGUUAUUAGGGAAGAACAUAUGUGUAAGUAACUGUGCACAUCUUGACGGUACCUAAUCAGAAAGCCACGGCUAACUACGUG